rnacentral:misc_RNA from 1 species
AGCGCGUCGGUGAACUGGAAGUCGUACACUUGGCGGUCUUCGAUGAUGUACUGCCGCAUGGUAAGGAGGAUCCAUCACCGCCCGCUCCCUCAUAUCCCAGCGAUCGACCAACCUCACUCCCUCCUCCCUCGCCUUCUCGAGAUCGACCAACCAAUCCCACGCCAAGAACGUAUCCUUGUACGUGAAGCGACACUCGGGACUAUAACUCUUGCAGUCCUUCUCGCCCAAACCGGGGACGAUGGGGAACCCGUCUGGACGGACUUCGUAGCCCUUUUCGCGCCAUUUCGCGAGCUUGCGCUCGUUUGCGGCGGAGACGAGCGCAAGGUGCGUCGCGUUGUCAGCGACGCAGGUCGGGCAGGGGAAGGAGGUGAGGGUCGAGGGAAACGAGGCGGGCUCGUUGAGCGGUGACGAGGAGGUGAGGGUCGAGAUGUUGAAGGAGGAAGGGGUCGACAGCAUGAUGUUGAGCCAGGAUUGGCGCUGCGAGCGGCCAGGAGUAGGUUCAGCGACAGCGAGGGGCGACGGUGGAGGAGGACACGCACAAGGUCGGCGUAGUACUGCGUUGGCGUCGGCCAGCCUAUCCAGAUGGGCGGGACUAGCCUGCGGAAGUUCAGGCGUCUUGCCCAGCAACAAUGCGUUCUGCAGCGCGAUACGCUGGUUGUGGUACCC